rnacentral:rRNA from 1 species
UAUUUCAUUGAUGUACAAAAUUAGUUAUACCAAUCAAACUACAUAUGGCAGCCCACGCGCAUUGUGUAAUGAACUAUCUUUAAUCAGCUUUUAAAAAGCUCAUCUACUAUUUAGCUCAAGAGCGCUAACCUUUAGCACUCAAAUCCUCACAACACCAAUGUCCUAUUUUAUGCAAGCUAGGAAACUAGGCCAUAGAAAAUAAGUAAAAGGGGUGGCAAAAAUGGUGCCAGCAGUCGCGGUUAUACCAAUACCCCAAGCUAAUUCUAACAAAUCGGAGUAGUUUUUAUCCACAGACUAUAAAAUCAACUUUUAGCGUAAAAAACAAAUUAUAACCAAAACCUUCCCAGUCAUAGCUAAACUACUCCAACAAACCAUAACCUCAGAACUCGGAUUAGAUACCCGACUACUGUAUGGCUCAACACAUAAAAGAAAACUACGAGCGAAAGCUUAAACCUCAAACAAUGUGGCGGUGCUUUAUUCCUCAUCAGGGGAUCCUGUGGCUUAAUUCGAUAAUCCACGAAAAUUUUAGCUAUUCUUGUUCUACAGCUUGUGUAUGGCCGUUUAUGCUUGCUCAUAAAAGAAAAAAAAGGAAGCAAUAGGGCUAAUUACCCAAAAAUUCAGGUGACAUACAGCCAAUGAAGAGCAGAUCCAUGGGAUACAAAUAAACAUACUAUCAAAUUUAAAGUUUAAAACCUUAAUAAAGGAGGACUUGAAAGUAAGAUUUGAUUUUCACAAAAUAAAUCUGGACAAGAACUAAAGCGCGCACAAAUCGCCCGUCACUCCGACAACAAAGUAGGAUAAGUCGUAACACAGUAGGGGUAAUGGAAAUUGCCCCUAUCAUAGU